UCCAUAUCUUAAACAGCUUUCAAGUGUUUUCUGCAGUUUUACAGGAGUGCAAGAUAGAUU
rfam:Heterocephalus glaber contig125129, whole genome shotgun sequence.